GAUGAACGCUGGCGGCGUGCCUAAUACAUGCAAGUCGAGCGAACAGACGAGGAGCUUGCUCCUCUGACGUUAGCGGCGGACGGGUGAGUAACACGUGGAUAACCUACUUAUAAGACUGGGAUAACUUCGGGAAACCGGAGCUAAUACCGGAUAAUAUAUUGAACCGCAUGGUUCAAUAGUGAAAGACGGUUUUGCUGUCACUUAUAGAUGGAUCCGCGCCGCAUUAGCUAGUUGGUAAGGUAACGGCUUACCAAGGCAACGAUGCGUAGCCGACCUGAGAGGAUGAUCGGCCACACUGGAACUGAGACACGGUCCAGACUCCUACGGGAGGCAGCAGUAGGGAAUCUUCCGCAAUGGGCGAAAGCCUGACGGAGCAACGCCGCGUGAGUGAUGAAGGUCUUCGGAUCGUAAAACUCUGUUAUUAGGGAAGAACAAAUGUGUAAGUAACUAUGCACGUCUUGACGGUACCUAAUCAGAAAGCCACGGCUAACUACGUG
rnacentral:rRNA from 1 species